CAGGAAUUGCAGCAAAUGUGUCUGAUUGCGUCUUUUCCUUUUGUUCUGUUGAAUGCUGUUCUGGUUCUUUCUUAUUUUCUUCAACUUCAGUAACCACAGGUUCUGCAUUUUCUGUUUCUGUAGGCUCAACAUCAGUAACCACAGAUUCGUCUUCUCCUUUUUCCGUAGGCACCCGACGACAAUGAAAAAAAGAAAACAAAUAUGUAAAAUCUGCAAGCUUAAUUCAAUCAGUCCCAUUAUUUGACUUUAAUGUCCCCCUUUGGUUCUGAGGACAGAUUUUUGGAAGAUGGAGAUUUUCCGGUGAUAGCCUUCUUUGCUUUCACUAGUGACUGUUUUACCUUUGAUAUGAUGUUAUUUGACUGCUUUUGAACUGGCUUGGUUGGAGUUUCUUUUGGAAGGUCCUUGGAUGUCUUUGUUGUAUCAUUUUCCUUGGUGGCUUCAACCUCAGUUUUCACUGGCUCGUCAAUUUGUUCUUUCUCCAAAUUAGCUGCUCCAGUUUUAACAAAUUCCUCCUCUUCUUUUUCUUCAAAUUUAGAUGCCAGUGUUUCUCUAACAGGUGCACUUACAGCAUUAGAGAUUUCAUCCACCUUUGUGUCAGCAUCUCCUUCUUUCUUGUUAUCAACUUCUUCAUUUUUCACACUCUCUACAUUCACACUCCCUUCUUCAGGUAUAGCUGCCGUUGCAUCCUUCUGUUCCUCAGGCUUCUUGAUAUCAACCUCUACCUCUCUUGAAGAUACUUGGACAGCAUCAGGUGCUUCUGAUUCCUUCUUUUCAUCCUCUGCAGCAGCAACAACAAACUUUUCCUCGACACUGGUAGGGUUCUCCGUAUCACUGGCCGCUUCUUUUGACUCAAUCGCAUCAGUAAAGCUUGAUUCUUUCUUGACAUCUUCUUCAACAACCUUUUCUUCAACUUCAUGAGAUGGUUCCUCCAGACUUGCAGGGUUUUCCUGAGCUUUGACAUUCAGUGAAACUUGUGUCGUCUUCACUGUGGUGUUAGUUUCACUUUCCACCCCCUUUUCAGUUUUCUCUUCAUUGAAUGAUAUGGAGUCUUUGAUUGUGGCAUCUAGAGAUCCUUCACUUUUUUCAGUUGCUUCCUUUGGCUCCACCUCCUUAUUAGUUUCCCCAAUUUCCUCACCUACUUGUAAUUGUUCUCUUGACUUUUCCUCCACUCCAUUAGACAGAGCAUCUGUAUCUGUGUUCUCUUCCAACUUUGAGUUAUCAGUCUCUUUCACCACCUCAAUAUCUGAGUCUUUGGGAAGGUUAACCUCCACUGUAUCAGCGGUUAGUUCUUGAACUUCAGCUGCUUCCUUUAGCUUCUCUUCUUCCUCUUGUUUGAAUAUUUGAAUUUCUGGCUCACUUUGCUUUUCAUCCACUUCAGUACCCACAGGCUCUGCCUUCUCUGUUUCUGUAGGCACUACUUCGUCGUUGUUAGUCUCUUUCAAUAGGUCUGCCUCAUGUUCUAUUUCUCUUGUUUUUUCUUCUACAGCAAUGGCAUCACUGGUCUCUGCAGAGUGUUCAGGAAUUGCAGCAAAUGUGUCUGAUUGCGUCUUUUCCUUUUGUUCUGUUGAAUGCUGUUCUGGUUCUUUCUUAUUUUCUUCAACUUCAGUAACCACAGGUUCUGCAUUUUCUGUUUCUGUAGGCUCAACAUCAGUAACCACAGAUUCGUCUUCUCCUUUUUCCGUAGGCUCCACUUUAAUGUUAUUGGUCUCUUCCGGAUUUCUCCACUGUUGUCUUUUCCUCUAUGGUCUUGCUCUGUUUCUCAUCGGCUUCCGCUGAGGGUUCAGCAUCAGCAAUUGCAACUGCGCUUGGUUGUGCUGCCUCUUCUGAUUUUUCUUGUGAUUCUUUUUCUUGUUUUGUUACUUCCUUCUCUUCAGUGGCCACAG
rnacentral:lncRNA from 1 species